ensembl:lncRNA
GUUAGGGGUUAGUGUGUUAGGGGUUAGUGUGUUAGGGGUUAGUUUGCCUGACUGUCUCUAUCUGUGUCUCCCCCUCUCUCUUUUUGGGUAUCUCUCUCUUUUUCUUUCCAUGUCUCUGUCUAUCUUUCAGUGUCACUUUGGGUUGCUUUAUCUCUCUCUUUCUGUGUCUCUCUCUCUCUCUCGUGUUUCUCUCUUUUCAUCUCUUGUGUCUCUCAUUCUCUGUCUGUAUCACUGUCUCUAUCCCACACUUUUUCUUUUUGUGUGUCUUUUUCUAUAACUCUCACUGUCUCUGUUGUUUUGGGUGUAUCUCUCUCUCUCGUUCUCUCUUUGGGUGUCUCUCGCUCAGUCUGUCUUUCUCUUCAAGUGUCUCUCUCUCUCUCUGUCUAUAUCUCUCGCUCUCUCUUUU